GUGCCAGCCGCCGCGGUAAUACCGGCAGCCCAAGUGAUGGCCGAUAUUAUUGGGCCUAAAGCGUCCGUAGCUGGCCAGACAAGUCUGUUGGGAAAUCCACUCGCCCAACGAGUGGGCGUCCGACGGAAACUGCACAGCUUGGGACCGGAAGGCUCGAAGGGUACGUUCGGGGUAGGAGUGAAAUCCCAUAAUCCCGCACGGACCACCGAUGGCGAAAGCACUUCGAGAAAACGGAUCCGACAGUGAGGGACGAAAGCCAGGGUCUCCAACCGGAUUAGAUACCCGAGUAGUCC
rnacentral:rRNA from 1 species